CGUGCAGGAUCGGGAUGAUUGACAGGUCGCCAUCUUUCCUGUUAGUGGUGAGAUAAAAGGAAAACGGCGUCAUGGCCUCAGGAAGAAGUUACCGUAGCGGUUCAGAAAAACUGAGGAAGAGAGACAGUCAGAGGUGUAGCAGCAGAAGGAAGGCUCCUUCUUCGCCUCUGGUUCCUGCAACAAGAGGGGGACACUCUCCUCCACCUUUAACUCCAGGGCCUGUCUUUGGGUGGAUCCUGCUGGACUAUCCAGCUCCUGUGGUCGCGGCCUCCUGGCUGCCCUCCAGAGAGCUGUUUCCUGUCUGCGCCGCCUCCCAGCCUGACUAAACUAAAUAUUUUAAUAUCGGAGCUGCUUUCAAAGUGAUUUUCCAAACACAUGAAGUUUCUGGACAAAGUAUCAGACCGGUAUCAGAUCGGUAUCAGACCGGUAUCAGAUCGGUAUCAGACUGGUAUCAGACUGGUAUCAGACCGGUAUCAGACCGGUAUCAGACCGGUAUCAGACCGGUAUCAGAUCGGUAUCGCUGAUACUGGCUUGUAUUUUACUUGGUAUCGGAUCAGAAAGAAAGCGAGUGGCAUCGUACAUCACUACUCCAGUACUCCUGCUGGCAGCACGCGGUGUGACGGAAACCUACGAGCCUGCGUGCUCUAGUCUGGAGCUGCUCUUAAAGGGCCAGCGUCACUAAAAUACCCCACACAGUUAUCACAAUACCAGCUUUACAAGCAGAACGAAUGUGAACAGUUUACCAAACCAAGACUUGGUGGUUCACAUGUUGCAGCUGCAGAGCCGAAUGUCGCCAUGGCCAGGAAAGUGUCUCAGAAACAAGUCAUGGAAGGUGGAGAUUACUGGUUCUCCGGUCAGCACUGCAUCUCAGCUCUAGACCCCCAAACUCCCUUGGUGUUCCUCCGUUUGAUCGGGAGAGGAUGGAGCACAUCUGGCGGGUCCAGAAGAAGCAUGUGAAGAGCAUCCAAGAUCCACCAGGUGUUGCUCUCUGCACUAAAACUGGGAGCUGACCAAGGGAGGUGUGUGUCUGCCGGUGUUUAGGUGAACCAGAGGCUCAACUUCCUUGGAGUCUUUUCAUCUGCAGCUAAACCGCUUCAUAGCAGGGAGCAGUGCCAACAGCCUGAAUGUUCAGGUUUACCUGUUGGAAGGGCUACACAGGUGGAACCAGGACCAGGUGUUGCUGCCAUGGCAACUGAGAAGUCUCCUUUGUGCUGCUACUCCGGUGAUUUGCUGCAUUCUGUCAACCAAACCUACAAGAAGCUGUUUGGCAGAAAGGUGGCGCCAGAGUUCUGUCCGUCCUCAUGUUACACAGGCGAACUCGUAGGAGUUCAGUAUCUGUUCCAGCAGACUGGUCAGGAGCUGCAGGACAUGAACCCUGACUCAGAGGAGACCGCCCGGUUGGUUGAGGAGCACGAUGUGGUGCUUGAUGAGGAAGAUGAGGGCUUUUCUGACCUCACAGACGAGCCACAGUGCUGGAUAUGGAGGUUCAACCUGCUCCCAGCACCUCCUCCACGCUGGCCUCUGGCAUAUCUGAGGCUGGAGAUUCCUCACAUGAAACUGUGUCAGUAACAGUUAUUUGCUGCUGUUUUCUACAUACUGUAUGUUCACGCAUGUUAUUGAAACUAAAGGUUUUAAACAGUAAUUUUCUGUUUUCUGCUUCAUAACAUUGGCAGGCUGUUGAUGAGCAGAAUGUGGCUGGAUACCAGCAUGUGGAGGAGAAAGAUCCUAAACAGAAUUUAGGGAACUUGCUCGUCAAUAAUUGUAAAUAGUUCUGAUUGUUUGAGUGUUUAUUGUAAAUAUUGGUCUAGUUUGGUAUAGUUUAAUUAUUGUUUAACAGUGUUUAUUGAAAAACAUGUUUGUCGUUGUUCUUAAUGACAGUGAACAUUAAACAGUGAGUGUGAAAUGAU